rnacentral:rRNA from 1 species
GACAGAGGUGCCGAGCGUUAGGCGGAAUCACUGGGCUUAAAGCGUGUGUAGGCGGGUCGUUAAGUACCUUGUGAAAUCCCCCCGGCUCAACCGGGGAACUGCUGGGUAUACUGGCGAUCUUGAGCGAUCUAGGGGCAGAUGGAACAAAUGGUGGAGCGGUGAAAUGCGUAGAUAUCAUUUGGAACGCCAAUGGUGGAAACAGGUAGCUGGGGCUGUGCUGACACUGAGACACGAAAGCCAGGGGAGCAAACGGG